rnacentral:rRNA from 1 species
GUAGUUGAAUUUUAGCCCUGGCUGGGUGGUCCACCUUUGGCUGGUACUGCCCUGGCCGGGGCUCACCUUCUGGCGAUCCGCCAUGUCCUUCGCUGGAUGUGACGGGGAACCAGGACUUUUACUUUGAAAAAAUUAGAGUGUUCAAAGCAGGCAUUUGCUUGAAUAGAUUAGCAUGGAAUAAUGGAAUAGGACCUUGGUUCUAUUUUGUUGGUUUCUAGGACCUCGGUAAUGAUUAAUAGGGAUAGUUGGGGGCAUUAGUAUUUAGUAGCUAGAGGUGAAAUUCUUGGAUUUACAAAAGACUAACUUCUGCGAAAGCAUUUGCCAAGGAUGUUUUCAUUAAUCAAGAACGAAAGUUAGGGGAUCGAAGACGAUCAGAUACCGUCGUAGUCUUAACCAUAAACUAUGCCGACUAGGGAUCGGACGAUGUUACUUUACUGACUCGUUCGGCACCUUAUGAGAAAUCAAAGUUUUUGGGUUCCGGGGGGAGUAUGGUCGCAAGGCUGAAACUUAAAGGAAUUGACGGAAGGGCACCACCAGGAGUGGAGCCUGCGGCUUAAUUUGACUCAACACGGGGAAACUCACUAGGUCCAGACAUAGUAAGGAUUGACAGAUUGAGAGCUCUUUCUUGAUUCUAUGGGUGGUGGUGCAUGGCCGUUCUUAGUUGGUGGAGUGAUUUGUCUGCUUAAUUGCGAUAACGAACGAGACCUUAACCUGCUAAAUAGUUAUGCCGACUCUUGUCGGCAGACAACUUCUUAGAGGGACUGUCAACGAUUAGUUGACGGAAGUUUGAGGCAAUAACAGGUCUGUGAUGCCCUUAGAUGUCCUGGGCCGCACGCGCGCUACACUGAUGAAGUCAGCGAGUUUAUAACCUUGGCCGGAAGGU